UUGCUUGCCUCAGCAGCACAAAUACUAUACUUGGAACAGUGCAGAGAAGAUGAACAUGACCCCUGAAGAAAGAUGACAUACAAAUUUAUGAAGUAUUCAAUUUGUUG